UACGUAGGGUGCAAGCGUUGUCCGGAAUUAUUGGGCGUAAAGAGCUCGUAGGCGGUUUGUCGCGUCUGCUGUGAAAACUCAGGGCUUAACCCUGAGCUUGCAGUGGGUACGGGCAGACUAGAGUGCGGUAGGGGAGACUGGAAUUCCUGGUGUAGCGGUGAAAUGCGCAGAUAUCAAGAGGAACACCUGAGGUGAAGACGGGUUGCUGGGCUGACACUGACGCUGAGGCGCGAAAGCUAGGGUAGCAAACGGGG
rnacentral:rRNA from 1 species